CCCUUAGAUGAUUUGGGCUGCACGCGCGCUACACUGACCCUAACAAUGAGCAACUGUCUGGCCUGAGAUGGCUGGGUAGCCUUUUCAACCCAUGUCAUGAUUGGGCUAGAUUUUUGUAAGUCUUGAUCUCUAACGAGGAAUCCCUAGUAUGCGUGAAUCAUCAAUCCAUGCAGAUUAUGUCCCUGCCCUUUGUACACACCGCCCGUCGCUCCUACUGAUUGGGUGAUCCGGUGAGCUGUUCGGCCAUAGCAAUGUUUCUUGAGCAGGGCAAUGAAUGUUUCGCGAACCUUGCCACUUAGAGGAAGGAGAAGUCGUAACA
rnacentral:rRNA from 1 species